rnacentral:rRNA from 1 species
GACGAACGCUGGCGGCGUGCUUAACACAUGCAAGUCGAACGGAAAGGCCCUGCUUUUGUGGGGUGCUCGAGUGGCGAACGAGUGAGUAACACGUGAGUAACCUGCCCUUGACUUUGGGAUAACUUCAGGAAACUGGGGCUAAUACCGGAUAGGAGCUCCUGCUGCAUGGUGGGGGUUGGAAAGUUUCGGCGGUUGGGGAUGGACUCGCGGCUUAUCAGCUUGUUGGUGGGGUAGUGGCUUACCAAGGCUUUGACGGGUAGCCGGCCUGAGAGGGUGACCGGCCACAUUGGGACUGAGAUACGGCCCAGACUCCUACGGGAGGCAGCAGUGGGGAAUAUUGCACAAUGGGCGGAAGCCUGAUGCAGCAACGCCGCGUGCGGGAUGACGGCCUUCGGGUUGUAAACCGCUUUCGCCUGUGACGAAGCGUGAGUGACGGUAAUGGGUAAAGAAGCACCGGCUAACUACGUGCCAGCAGCCGCGGUGAUACGUAGGGUGCGAGCGUUGUCCGGAUUUAUUGGGCGUAAAGGGCUCGUAGGUGGUUGAUCGCGUCGGAAGUGUAAUCUUGGGGCUUAACCCUGAGCGUGCUUUCGAUACGGGUUGACUUGAGGAAGGUAGGGGAGAAUGGAAUUCCUGGUGGAGCGGUGGAAUGCGCAGAUAUCAGGAGGAACACCAGUGGCGAAGGCGGUUCUCUGGGCCUUUCCUGACGCUGAGGAGCGAAAGCGUGGGGAGCGAACAGGCUUAGAUACCCUGGUAGUCCACGCCGUAAACGGUGGGUACUAGGUGUGGGGUCCAUUCCACGGGUUCCGUGCCGUAGCUAACGCUUUAAGUACCCCGCCUGGGGAGUACGGCCGCAAGGCUAAAACUCAAAGGAAUUGACGGGGCCCCGCACAAGCGGCGGAGCAUGCGGAUUAAUUCGAUGCAACGCGUAGAACCUUACCUGGGUUUGACAUGGAUCGGGAGUGCUCAGAGAUGGGUGUGCCUCUUUUGGGGUCGGUUCACAGGUGGUGCAUGGCUGUCGCCAGCUCGUGUCGUGAGAUGUUGGGUUAAGUCCCGCAACGAGCGCAACCCUUGUUCACUGUUGCCAGCACGUUAUGGUGGGGACUCAGUGGAGACCGCCGGGGUCAACUCGGAGGAAGGUGGGGAUGACGUCAAGUCAUCAUGCCCCUUAUGUCCAGGGCUUCACGCAUGCUACAAUGGCUGGUACAGAGAGUGGCGAGCCUGUGAGGGUGAGCGAAUCUCGGAAAGCCGGUCUCAGUUCGGAUUGGGGUCUGCAACUCGACCUCAUGAAGUCGGAGUCGCUAGUAAUCGCAGAUCAGCAACGCUGCGGUGAAUACGUUCCCGGGGCU